GUUAUCCUUGAAAUAAUCUUGCUCCGCUAACAUUACCCAUUUCUAUAGAUAUUUCACUUUAGUAGUAUUUUUAUCCAAUAAAAUUUUAAGUUUGCCCACAUUGAAUUUUUAAAUUUGCUUCCAAAGCAAUCUCACUCCUAUUAGCUCCAUCCAUUUAUUUGGACAUUUCAUUUUAAUGGUAUUUCACCUACGAAAAUUUUAGAUUUGCCCCAAAUUUGUUCUCAAAGUAAAUUGAUAUUGUUAUGAAAAGUCAAUAUUUAUAUU
rnacentral:misc_RNA from 1 species